rnacentral:rRNA from 1 species
AUUGAACGCUGGCGGCAGGCUUAACACAUGCAAGUCGAACGAGUGGCGGACGGGUGAGCAAUGCUUGGGAAUCUGACUUAUGGAGGGGGAUAACGACGGGAAACUGUCGCUAAUCCCGCUUACCAUAGGAUGAGCCCAAGUGGGAGUAGGUAGUUGGGGGGGUAAUGGCCUACCAAGCCGCCGAUCUCUAGCUGGUCUGAGAGGAUGACCAGCUACACAGGGACAGGGACACGGCCCGGACUCCGCCGGGAGGCAGCAGGGGGGAAUAUUGCGCAAAGGGGGCAACCUGACGCAGCGAUGCCGCGCGAAUGAGGAAGGCCUUGGGAUUGUAAAGUUCUUUCGGUACCGAGGCGUUAAUCAAAGAGGAGGCCCCGGCUAACUCCGUGCAAGCAGCCGCGGUAAUAC